AGGGGGCGAGCGUUGUCCGGAAUUAUUGGGCGUAAAGCGCGCGCAGGCGGUCUCUUAAGUCUGAUGUGAAAGCCCACGGCUCAACCGUGGAGGGUCAUUGGAAACUGGGGGACUUGAGGGCAGGAGAGGAGAGCGGAAUUCCACGUGUAGCGGUGAAAUGCGUAGAGAUGUGGAGGAACACCAGUGGCGAAGGCGGCUCUCUGGCCUGCACCUGACGCUGAGGCGCGAAAGCGUGGGGAGCAAACAGGAUUAGAUACCCUGGUAGUCCACGCCGUAAACGAUGAGUGCUAAGUGUUAGAGGGGUCACACCCUUUAGUGCUGCAGCUAACGCGAUAAGCACUCCGCCUGGGGAGUACGGCCGCAAGGCUGAAACUCAAAGGAAUUGACGGGGGCCCGCACAAGCGGUGGAGCAUGUGG
rnacentral:rRNA from 1 species